CUGGAAUUGCUAGUAAUGGCAGGUCAGCAUACUGCCGUGAAUACGUUCCCGGGCCUUGUACACACCGCCCGUCACACCAUGAGAGUUGGAAAUACCCGAAGCCUGUGAGCUAACUUAAAGAGGCAGCAGUCGGAGGUAGAGCCAAUGAUUGGGGUGAAGUCGUAACAAGGUAAC
rnacentral:rRNA from 1 species